UCUCCGUAGGUGAACCUGCGGAGGGAUCAUUACCGAGUGAGGGCUCCGGCCCGACCUCCAACCCCAUGUGAACCUGAAACCUGUUGCUUCGGGGGCGACCCUGCCGUCCGCGGCUGAGCGCCCCCGGGGUCAAUCAAACACUGCGUAACCAAGUCGUCGGAGUUUAAACAAAUUAAACAAAACUUUCAACAACGGAUCUCUUGGUUCGGGCAUCGAUGAAGAACGCAGC
rnacentral:misc_RNA from 1 species